ACGAACGCUGGCGGCGUGCCUAAUACAUGCAAGUUGAGCGCUGAAGGUUGGUACUUGUACCAACUGGAUGAGCAGCGAACGGGUGAGUAACGCGUGGGGAAUCUGCCUUUGAGCGGGGGACAACAUUUGGAAACGAAUGCUAAUACCGCAUAAAAACUUUAAACACAAGUUUUAAGUUUGAAAGAUGCAAUUGCAUCACCCAAAGAUGAUCCCGCGUUGUAUUAGCUAGUUGGUGAGGUAAAGGCUCACCAAGGCGAUGAUACAUAGCCGACCUGAGAGGGUGAUCGGCCACAUUGGGACUGAGACACGGCCCAAACUCCUACGGGAGGCAGCAGUAGGGAAUCUUCGGCAAUGGACGAAAGUCUGACCGAGCAACGCCGCGUGAGUGAAGAAGGUUUUCGGAUCGUAAAACUCUGUUGGUAGAGAAGAACGUUGGUGAGAGUGGAAAGCUCAUCAAGUGACGGUAACUACCCAGAAAGGGACGGCUAACUACGUG
rnacentral:rRNA from 1 species